GAUAUCAGCAUUUUUCUUUAUUCCAUUUUAUUAAUAAUGACCCAUCACUCAAUGUAACAGGAUUCCAAAUUUUCUAUUAACGUCAUUACCAUGCUCACUUUGACUGAGCCCUAAUACAGGUUCUCUGUAAAUCUCUUUAUAAUUCAUGUAUUGCCCAUCAUUGUAUUUUCUUUUGACAAUAUUCUAUGAUCUUUACUCAGAAGAUACCUACUGAUAAAAUCUUCCAAAUCAGUAUGACUACUGUGCUUUGAAAUGAGACUAAAGGGAGGGAAAAACUUGAUGUAAAAACAACACAGCCCCUCUGUAUUUCUCUGUAUUGCCUAUAAUGUCAAUUAAAACCACUGUUUCAACUGGAAUGACUUGGAAUAACAAUGUAAGUCAUUCUACUGAUGUUAAGAGCCUUCAUAUUUGGCACCAUCCUAUAGUUUUGCUGCUUUUACUCACAGCAGUUCUGCAAGACCACCCCUCUUCUAGCUCAUAUAACAAAGUCCGACAAGAAGGCAGAGAUUUAUCACAGCCUUGGGAAAGCCCCGGAAAUCAGUGAACAAGAUUUAACAGACAGAAACUUUUAUGGUGCUGAUUCUCUAGAAAGAUGACUGAUAAACUGUCUUCACCCUAGACCUCUCAUUCUCAUCAGAUUGUUUUACUUGCUCAUUUUCUCCUCUUCUACAUUUAUUUGCCUUUCUCCUGUUCCCUCAUUUUGUCUUGCUUAUAUCCAUUUAGUUAAAACACAUUUUCCCUUUCUUCUUUUUUUUCUCCUUUAACUUGUGCAUUUCCAUCGCCCUUCUUGUCACUACUGAUAUCCCAUUCAAGUUAUAAACCACUGAAAAUGGAGCCUACAUGGGUGAAUGAUAUCUGUAGAAGUGAGAAACAAGUUUGAGCUAAUAAAUUACAGAUAAACACUAGGACAGCAGAAAGGCAAAGAAGAAAGCAGGUAUCUCUCUAAGGCUUAGGCAUCCUCACUUCAGCUGCAGAAGAAUCAAAUUUUCCUGGCAAGCAGUACAGGCUCCUUCACUUCUGUGGUUUCACCACCAUAGUAAUUUUUUGGUGACUUCUUUUGAGUGAGGAUUGUAUCAAGAACUUGGAAGAACCCUGCAUUACUAGAACCAUUUAUGGGAUGACCAUUUCUUAGGCUGUGCAAUUUCUCUUAUCACAGCUUUCAAAUGUUAAGGAUACUUGAUAUGUAGACAUCACAUACUUUUUACUACAGUAACUUAAAAUUACAAUUCCACUACAUUAAAGAACCAAAACAUGUUUAGGUGUAGCAAUAUACAGGAAUACUACAUGGAUACAAAUAACAUGUAGGAAAGUGUUUUCCUAAAUGCUUCUGUUUUGUUGUCUUACCAUUAUCUUUAAAUAUGAAAUUACCAGGUUAACUGUUUAACAGGCUAAUAGUUUAAAUUUCUUACUUGGCUAUUUUAUUCUCACUUCAUGCAAGGAAUUUACUCCUAAUUAAUGCCUGUGGAAACAGGUUUUCAGGUGCUUACAAAAACAAUUUUAAUACUAGUUUCAUUUUUGCUGCUUACUAUUAGUAGUUUGUAUUAUAUAAGUAAUGUGUUUUCAAGGAGUUACUGCAGUCCAUCUUUUUUUUUUUUUUUUUUUUUUUUUUUUUUUAGAAAUGAGCAAUACAUUUUGCAAGCCUGAUGGGAAUAUCCUCUAGGGCUCUGGUUGGUUGGUGAAAAGCCUUGACUUAGCCUGUACAUUUUGGUUAGGGGAAGGUAGCUGUUUUUGUUUAUUUUUAGAGUUUACAUAAGGAAAGUUUGUUAAGAUAUAUUUAUUUCCUUUGCAUGAAGAAUGACAAACCUGCUCAAAGCAAUAAAGUUUGAACAUGGGGAGUUCAAAACUCACUUCCCACCUGCUUCAAAACUCUUGCCUCUAUCUAGUAUUAUCUGAAAAUGAGAGUGGCUCAAGGCCUGUCAAAUGUGCAGGUGUACAUUUCACUGGCCCAUAAACAUUCAGGGUAAAAUAAAUACAGCAGGGCAGAAAAAAAAAAAGGUUGUGAUUGUAGAAGGAAAGAAGCUAGGGUGUGCCCUGAGAUGGGUGUCUAUCACCCAGCAUUUAUUCUUUCAUCUCACCUUUCACCUUCUCCAGACUGGCCUAUGGGACCUCCUGCAAAUGACCAUGAGCAAUUCAGCUCUUUCAUUCUGGAGGGCUUUUAUGACUUUUUGAGUAAAUACAAAUUCCAGUCAGAGCAAUUUCUUGGUGUGCAUUCUGUGUAACUCACUCCACAGUAACUUCAGGUUCAGAGAGGCCCUCUGUUGCAUCUCCCAACUGCCAUGCCUGCCAUUUCCUAAGAAGUGUUUCCAGGUUCUUCCAUUAUCGAUAUCAGAGAAAAGAUUUAAUUUUGCCUCUCCCCUAUGCUUGUCCUUUUUGCAUCUGUUUAACCUCAAAUUCUCUAUUCCAAUACCUCACUGAAUCACAAUGUUUAAAGCUGGACAGUCUACUCCAGCCUUCUGCUCAAAGCAGGACCAAUUUGAACAGGUUGUUCAUAGCCAUGUUAUAAAGUAGUAUGUGCCAAGCCUUUAUACAUUAAAUGGCAACUUUUAGUCUCUUAGGAAAUAAUUAAAGCUACACUGCGGCUAAAUUGCGUUUUCAUUAAAAUAUAUUUUGGUGUUAAUUUCACUGGGACCAUUAUUUCUUUAAUAUUAGCAGAAAUUAAAACAAAUUAAUUUUCUAUUUAUUCACCUAAUAAAAGUACUAGCAGUUCAUGUCUCAAUCCCAAGAUGAAAAUAAAUUUAAAAGUUUUUCUAAUCAUUUUUCAUAAAUAACCCUUGAUGUACCAUAAAUGGUACGAAAAUAGCAAGAUUAGUUAAAGUUUAAAGUUUUCCAUUUGCUGAUUGGUUACUAUUGCCAGCAUUAAACCAUACUGGUAUAUAAUCAGUUCUGCCUUUAGUCUUUGGCAGUUUUCCUGUUUAAGUUAUAAGCUCUGUAGAGCAAUGCACAAGCUUUUGUUUGUGUUACAUGCUUAUGUAAAGACCUAU
ensembl:lncRNA